CAAGUCGAACGGGACUUUUUUCUGUAGCAAUACAGAAAAAAGUCUAGUGGCGAACGGGUGCGUAACACGUGAGCAACCUGCCGUGAAGUGGGGGAUAGCUCGCCGAAAGGCGAAUUAAUACCGCAUGUGGCCAAGGAAGACAUCUUCCUGACGCCAAAGCCGGGGCAACCUGGCGCUUCUCGAGGGGCUCGCGGCCUAUCAGCUUGUUGGUGAGGUAACGGCUCACCAAGGCUAUGACGGGUAGCUGGUCUGAGAGGACGACCAGCCACACUGGAACUGAGACACGGUCCAGACACCUACGGGUGGCAGCAGUCGAGAAUUUUUCACAAUGGGGGAAACCCUGAUGGAGCGACGCCGCGUGGAGGAUGAAGGUUUUCGGAUUGUAAACUCCUGUCAUUAGAGAACAAGGCACACGGUUUAACUGACCGUGUGUUGAUAGUAUCUGAAGAGGAAGAGACGGCUAACUCUGUGCCAGCAGCCGCGGUAAUACAGAGGUCUCAAGCGUUGUUCGGAUUCAUUGGGCGUAAAGGGUGCGUAGGUGGCGAUGUAAGUCGGAUGUGAAAUCUCCAAGCUUAACUUGGAAACUGCAUUCGAUACUGCGUUGCUAGAGGACUGUAGAGGGCAUUGGAAUUCACGGUGUAGCAGUGAAAUGCGUAGAUAUCGUGAGGAAGACCAGUGGCGAAGGCGAAUGCCUGGGCAGUUCCUGACACUGAGGCACGAAGGCCAGGGGAGCAAACGGGAUUAGAUACCCCGGUAGUCCUGGCAGUAAACGGUGCACGUUUGGUGUGGGAGGAUUCGACCCCUUCCGUGCCGGAGCAAACGCGUUAAACGUGCCGCCUGGGGAGUACGGUCGCAAGAUUAAAACUCAAAGAAAUUGACGG
rnacentral:rRNA from 1 species